ensembl:snRNA U2 U2 spliceosomal RNA
AUCGCUUCUCGGCCUGAUGGCUAAGAUCAAGUGUAGUAUCUGUUCUUAUCAGUUUAGUAGCUGAUAUGUCCCGCAAUGCGGGACUAGUCUAUUAAAUGGAUUUUUGGUAUCGGGAGUUGGAUUAGGGGCUUGCUCCGUCCGCUCCAUGCAUCGACCCGGUAUUGCAGUACCUCCGAGAACGGUGCACCCCCC